rnacentral:misc_RNA from 1 species
CAAGAUUUUACAAGUUUCAUCUCAUAUUGUACAAGACGAAUGAACAAGAAAAUAAAUAUAUGUAUAAAAUGAUUUUAACAUGGUAGAAAAGAAAAAGAAUGAUAAUGAAUCCCUAUAUCAUCUUUUCUAUUCACAAAAGAAGAAUAAGUUAGAAACUAAUUCUCACUAAUGGCACAUUAUCUACUGCUGUCAUAUUGAUGUCCUUCCCACAAUUGAAGGACUGUGUUCUAGAGUGAGCAAGGCUUCUGUACAUUGCAUUCACCUUGUCAACCACUGGUGGAUCAAUGGUCGCAACUGCUUCUCCACCAAACCCAGUUGGUGUGGACACCUUUUGGUUGAACGCACUUAUACUUUUCGAGUGGGCAAUCCUUCUUGUUGGAGACAAGUUCACUUGUUCCAAAGCUCGGAAUUGGAGCCCCGAGGGAUAAUCCCUAACACAGCCUAUGCGUGGCCCUGCUCCAGUUGUCCAUUUGCAGGACAACUGUCCACCCAGCUGAAAUGACUUCGUUCCCUUCUUUGAAUUAAUCCUUUGAAGGAUUGCUUCUUUUGGAAUUUCUUCUACUUCAUUAUGUUCAUCUUCGUCAAACUUUUUCUUUGGAAACUUGUCACCCUGUUCUGUAGUGAACCUGAACCUUUCAUCUGCAGAUUCAUAACCAUCUUUUACCAGUGGGUCUGCAGACACAUUCUUGCUGCUUGGUCCAGCAGUUGGAUUUCCACUCUCUAAAUAGUCAAACAAUUCAUCCCUCUUUGGUAUUUCAAGAUUGGUCAACUUCCUACUGAAGUUGUGGAGCAGUCCUGGCUUCUGUUCUUCCAAUGCCAGAGAAGUCCCAUCUUGCACUAAAUCACUGCUCUCUGGCAUCAGGUUUUCAGCAUUGAUUUCUUCAAUCUCUAGGUCAUUCACAGUUUGGAUCAAGUCCUCUUCAGAUGAGUGGCUUCUAAUAUGUCUAAUGCUUCUUAGCUUAUCAAGCAAGCCUUCUUCCUCAUCCACUGGAUAUGUCUUUACAUCAGUGAGAUCCACAUUGUUUUCUCGGAGAAAUGAAAGAAAAUCCCUAAAAUUUUCUUCUGUAGGCCGAUAAUGUCCACUGUGAGGCCAAACUGCCUUAAGAAUGCCGCUUUCAACGAUUAAUCUACCAGCAGCGGUUGUGACUCCUCCAGCCAAGAAGCUAGAAUGCUGGAAUGUACCUUUCUUUUUCUUGCCAACAUACAAGGUCUUAGAUGUACUGAGGACAAAAAUCCACUUGGCAUCUGCAGUGGUGUGAAGGAGCUUUCCUGUCUGCUUGUAAAUGAACUUCCCAUCCUCCACAACAACUUCAUAGGCCUUCCUUUCCAUCGGACCAAGAUACUUGAUGCACUGUUGUUGAAGUUUUGAUCGAGGGCAUUUUUCAAUAAUAUUUACUUCCUUGCCUUCUCCUAUAUCUAGCCAGUAAAAGAAAGGUUCUCUACUCUUAGAAUGAAGCCAUUUUACAUAAUAGAAGUGUAGGUUAUGUCCAUAUCGAUGCCGCGGAUCAAUCGCUUCAAGCCAAUGCUGUAAAGCAAGCUUUUGGGCUUUGUCAUUUUUUGAUAAACCUUUCCCAACCUUGGCAGCUCUUGUUCUUGCUCGUGACCAACGCGAAAUAGCAGUUUCAUGUUUCUCAAUAUCAAAGAAAGAUAUAGAACUGUGCUUGAGUUCAGCAAAAUCUAAAAGUUUCCACCAGCUCUGCUCAACAAGAACUGCACAAUCAGCAAGCUUUCUCCUGGUUCUGAAGCUUUUGUACACUUUCUGCAAUUUUACAGCAGCUUGGUGUUUGGGAUUGGCGGGAUCAAAAAUUGGCAAUUUUUGGACUGUUCCUACGUCAAUAUCCGAGUUUUGUGGCUGAUCAUCCUUCACUUUGCUAUUUGUAUUAACUGAUAUAACUGCAGGAUCCUUUUUUUGGUCCAACGAAGGAUCUUUAGUAGGCAUCCUAUUUUCCAAUUCUUCCCCAUUAAAGCUAACAGAUCUUUCCACCAACAUCUUCACAGAACCCAAAGAUUUCAGUAUAUUGGUCUCCAAAUCUUGACUACCAAAAUUAGCUGAUUGCACAGACGUUUUCGCUUUAUCAUCUCCAAAGCAAAUAGAUUUCACAGUAACAAAUUCUAGGGCCUUCUCCAAAUCACUGUAUUCAGCAAACAGGGAGGAAUAAGAAAUUCCCAUUCGAGGAGGAAAAAGGUUUGUGGCGACCUAUAUGGUCUGGAUUCCUUGAAUAGAGGAUUUAUGACCCAAUAAAGGAGAUAGAAUGUAUUCUGGAAAAAGAAAAUCCUGUUUUAGAGGGGCAGACUGAUUUUCACCUUUUCUCUCUCUAAAGUUAAAGUCUG